ACGGCCCCUCAACUCCAAAUGCUUAUCGGUGGCUGAUCCUUCUUGCUCAUCAUAUCAGAGUCAGCAAUCCCAUGUAUGUUUCAAAGAGAGACUUACAGGUGAAGAAACUCGCACUGCUAGGCAUAGCAGCAGCACGCCAACUAAGAGGUGUGAACUGAGCAUCGCGGAGGAGCUCGGGGAAGCACCAUGUAUGUUUCAAAGAGAGACUUACAGUUGAAGAAACUCGCACUGCUAGGCAUAGCAGCAGCACGCCAACUAAGAGGUGUGAACUGAGCAUGGAGGAGGAGCUCGGGGAAGCACCAUGUAUGUAUCAAAGAGAGACUUACAGUUGAAGUCGCUAGCAUUCGGUUGCAGCAAACUCGCACUGCUAGGCAUAGCAGCGGCACGCCAACUAGAAGGUGUGAACUGAG
rnacentral:lncRNA from 1 species